rnacentral:lncRNA from 10 species
CUGGGGGUCCAGACCAGUUUCUGGUCCCUGCAGACUCACCAGAGCCUGGAGACAGCAAGGGCAAGGGCUGUGAAACAGCAAAGAGGACAACACACCCCUCCCACUGGGAGCUCUAUCCCAGGGAGUUGCAGAGCUGCUACUAGCUCAAUAGCCCCAGCAGGGGAUGGCUGGAGACCCAGGCUGGGGGGACCCACCCAGUGAGAAGCUAUGGGAUCAGGGACCCACAUAAUAGUCUGACCACUUUUCUUUAGGGCGUGGCAAUAUGGUGGGAGUCUAUUCCAGUCCCUAGUCACCUUGGAUUUUCCAGUACCUGAAGGUAUCAACAGUGAAGGCUGUGAAACAGCAAAGAUGGUAGCCUGCCUCUCCCUCUGGGAGCUCUGUUCCAGGGAAUUACAGACUUGUUGCUGGCCCAAACACACCAGUUGGGGAGGCUGGGGACCCCGAUGCAGAGGUCCUGCCCAACGAGGAGGAAUGGGAUCAGAGACCUGCAUAAAAAAAUCAGUCUGCCCCCUUUUUUUGUAGAGUAGCUUUAUUGCUUUGGGGGGGUCUGCUCCAACCUCCAGUCACUGUGGACUCUCCAAAGCCCAAAGACAACAACAGCUAAGGAUGCAAAACAGCGAAGAUGGUGGCCCAUUCUCCCCUUUGGGAACACAGUCCCAGGAGGUUUGGAACUGCUGCUGACUGGAAAACCCUGGUGGGGAUGGUUGUAGACCUAGGCCGGGAAAUUCUUCCCAGUGAAGAGAAAUAGGAUCUGGGACACACAUAAAAAAAUAGUCUGGCCACGUCUUCAUAGAGCUGCUGCACUGUGUCGGAGGACUGCUCCAGUCCCUAGUUGCCUCUGAUUCUCUAGAGCCCAAAGGCAAUAACGGCUAAGGCUGCAAAACAGCAAAGCCGGCAGCCUGCCCCUCCCUCUGGGAGCUCCAUCUCAGGCGGAGGUAAAGCUGCUACCUGUGGCUGGCCAGAGUUCUAAGCCAGUGGAUCUUAUCCUGUGAGAUGCCAUGGAAGUGCGGCCUACCGCCUGUGGCUGCUCAGCCCCUGGAUUCAGCCCCUUUCCUAGGAGUAUGUAUGGGGGUCCAACCUCCUGAUUUGCCAGAGUUGCAGCCACUUUUCCUGGGAAGCCCAGGUAUCUAAAGCUCCUGUGGUUCCAUGUGAACCUAAGAGGCCUCUCUUCCAAGACUCUACAUAUCUCUACAUGUCAGACUGAAGGUCCUGGUGGAGUGGAUUCACGAGGGGAUCUCCUGACCUGGGGUUGCAAAGAUCUGUGGGAGAAGCAUGGGUCCCCGGAUCGCUCACUCACUCACCGCUUCCCUGGGUAGGGGACGCUCCUCUAGAUCCAUGUUGCUCCCAGGUCCCUGUUCAGACCUGGGCUAUGGCAUGAAAAGCAUGGUGUCCACUGUUUCGUAUCCAUUUGCUCAUUUGGUCAGUUGUAAGGUGCAGCGCAACUGCUGGGAAGGUGGAACUGGAGAUGCAGGCAGUCCUCCCUGGAGCCCCAAAGAGCAAGUAGCUAGGCUGAGAGGCUAAAAAGAAUGAAAGAUUACAGCAAAAUGUCAAGAAGUGGUAAAGGAGGGCUGGAGGCACAAGAACAUUUACAUCUCACGCUGCUGACAGGCAGCCAGCUGGUGAUGGUGCCUCAGAGCAGCCAUGCAGAGAGAAAACCACCUCAGAGCAUGGGAGGCUGGUGGGAUCACAGGCCACCAUGCUCCUGGCAAGGAUGCGAUGAGAAUAGUGGAUUUGGAGAACAGCAAAUCCGCCACCUUGAAUAUCACUGACAGAACUCUGCAAAUAGACAUUGAAUAAACUUGGAGAAGAGGGUCAUGUGGAUCCUUCCAAAACACUUUCUCCAUGUGAUUUUCCUGAAGAGGAAUUAGCCAAAGAAGAUAAGGACCUGGAUCUCCCACACAACUGAGACAAUGCACAGGCAUACAAAAUUGGGGUUAAUAAGGGUGAGUUAUCCCAAAAAAAUACGGUAGCCUGCUCAGACAAGCACUCUGGUUGAGGGUAUCAAGUUUGUAUUCUUAAUUCCUGGAAUGUUGUCAAUUAAUGUCAAGUAAUCACCAAAUAAAAUCUGAGUCAACUGGAACAGAGACUUAAGCUACCUCAUGCUAUAGACAAAUUUAUUUGGCAUAAGAUUGAUGGAGCGCAUGAAAUUCACUCACCUCAUCAAGCCAGGAUUUCAAAAGUCAAAAUAUUUUUCAGGUUAGAGUGAGAAUCCCCUGAAAGGUGAUGAGGGAUGGCUGGAAUUAACCCAGUAGUACAUAUCAGGGCUGAGGGAACAAAGCUACAAUACAAUCCAUCUGAGGAGGAAAUUUUCCCUUAGGUUAGGGAAAUAACAUUAAUUAGAAUAUUUAUGUUGGGUUUAGGUUAUAAAUUCAGGCAUAGAAAUUUCUCUUUCCAUCCCCACCCAAUGAUAUCUGAGGAAUAUGAAAAAUAUAGGCCAGUAAUGAUUAAAAUUGUGGAUGUCAUCUGUUGAGGUCCUCUCAAACCCUGUGACAGUGACACUGGGAACAAUUCAUUUGGAAGAGAAUUAGGUAACACAUGCCCUUUGACCUACAGGUUCCAUUUCUUUUAUUAUUAUUAUUAUUAUACUUUAAAUUUUAGGGUACACG